rnacentral:sRNA from 1 species
UUCAAUGGUUCGGUAACAUUCACACCUACGACAUUCACUCUCGUUGGCAUCCCGGGACUGGAGGCAGAACAUAUGUGGAUAUCCAUCCCCUUCUGCCUGAUAUACACCAUCAUCUUUCUGGGAAAUGGCAUCAUUCUUCACAUCAUCCGAAUUGACUCUUCCUUGCACCAACCCAUGUACUAUUUUCUGGCCAUGCUGGCCUUUGUUGAACUUGGUGUCUCUGCUUCCACUAUGCCCACUGUGUUAAGCAUAUUCCUCUUUGGCAUUAACGAUGUCAGUUUUGGUGGUUGUCUGCUCCAGAUGUUUUCUAUGCACUCUUUCACUCUCAUGGAGUCAGGUGUCCUUCUGGCAAUGUCAGUGGACAGCUUUGUGGCCAUCUACAGCCCACUGCACUACACAGCCAUCCCGACAAUUGCCCGCAUUACUGGGAUGGGUGCUGCCAUUGCCUUGCGCAGUGUAAUGUUUAUGCUCCCACUACUCUUUCUCCUGAGGCGUCUGCCUUUCUGCGGCCACAAUACUCUCACACACUCUUAUUGCCUCCACUCAGAUCUGAUCAAAUUGCCCUGUGGAGACACACGCCCCAAUAGCAUCCUUGGUCUAUUUGUCAUUACCUUCACAUUUGGACUGGACUCGUUGUUCAUUGUGGUUUCUUAUGUGCUGAUUCUUCAUACAGUACUGGAAAUAGCUUCUGGAGCAGGGCGGUGGUGGGCACUCAACACAUGUGUUUCGCACAUAUGUGCUGUGCUUGUGUACUAUGUGCCCAUGAUCAGCCUCUCCCUGAUGCACCACUUUGGACAGCAUUUACCUCCACUUCUCCAGACUGUCACGGCCAAUGCUUACCUCUUCUUUCCUCCUGUGGUCAACCCCAUUGUCUAUAGUAUCAAAACCAAAGAAAUUCGCAACAGCGUUGUUCUUACACUAUCCAGGAAGAGGGGUGAGUUCUAA